GAUACAAAUGUAUGGCGAUACAAUAUUUUCAAAACGAUGUGGGGAUUCCCUCGGGUCCUCCCUCUUGAUACCUUCAGAAACCCGAGCAACGGAUACCUCUUCAAUGGAGAUCACUGCGAGUUUGGUGUAGAUGUGACUAUUCAUACACCCUUUCAAAGAUCAGAACUUUUCACUGUCGCUAGGAAUUUCCCUAACCCGAGGUUCACCUGGAAUAUUCAGAGGUUCUCCACGCUGCUGGGAGAGACUUACUUCUCUGAUGUGUUUUCCAUCGGAGGAAGAAAUUGGUAAGUCCAACAUUAGUUCAAGAGUAGAACUCUUUUGCUUUAGCUAGAAUAUAGUGGUGGUACGUAACAAAUAUUCCAUAUGAUGAUCAGGAAUAUACAAGUGCAUCCAAGUGGCGCUGUAACGGGAGAGGGAAGAGCCUUGUCGAUGUAUCUUCUCCUUAAUGCGAACGAGAGAUUCAGACCCUAUGAGAAGAUUUAUGUUCGAGCCCAGCUUAGGGUUCUUAACCAACGUGCCUCGUCCCAGUGGAGAACCAUCGAAAGGCCAAGUAAAGCAAAUGAUAUAUAUCAGUACUUUAUACUAUGGAAACAUCCCUUGUGACUAAUGAAUGGUUUCUGUCAACUUCCUCCUUUUUUGGCAGUCGAUCAUUGGUUCACUGGUCCGGGAUUAGGUUGGGGAUACGAUGAGUUUGUCCCUCUAGCUGAUCUCAGGGAUCCAGAGAGAGGUUAUCUAGUGAAUGAUAAGUUGAUGGUUCAAGUCGAAAUGGAAGCAAUUUCUUCAACCAGGUACUUCCCUAGUUAGAAUUCUCUAACCAAGGAACUUGUAGCUCUAUGUAAUUUGCUAUCUUACCAAAACCACUUAAUAAUAAGAAAUGUAUGUGUGUGCGUAUCAAAUAAAUGUGUUCUGUAUAUAUCAACCAUCAUAUCUAUUUUUUCUGCAAUGAUCGACGACGUCUACAGCGGUUCAAAAUCGCAGCUCAAAAUCUGGUUAUAUGUUUAUCAGAAAAAUCUGGUUAUAUUUGACGUUUUAGAGGAAUUUUUUUGUUCCAAAUUAUUUGACGCUUUCAAUUUUCUAUGUAAAAUUUAUUACUAAUUAAUGUUUGAUGACCAAUGAAAUUAUAGUUUCUAUUUUAUUAUUGGUUAAAUUGUGGUUAGAUAAACAAUUAAUGAUGUUUUUUCUAGAAAAUUAAAUGUUUUUUAAUCUAAGUGCACAAUUCUAAAACGUCAUAUAUAUAAAAUUACGGAGGGAGUAUUGUCCUUCUAGCAUUAAUUGGAAACGAAACUGACUAUUUUAUGACCAUACUAGUGUUUUGUUUCUUCAAACAAAAAAUAAAAACGCACUUCAACACAAUAUAUUAAAUAUAUAGCUCACAUGUUCGUUAUAAGAGAGGCAAAAUGUAAAAAGUCACAAUUUUCGGUAUUACGCGUGAUCGUGAUUAUAAUGAGACUAGAUACAAGUUUUUUUUUCUGAAAAAGGCGACUAGGCACAAGUUACUUAUUAGUGAAUCGAUUCCGUAAAAGAUCAAUAAUGUGUGUUGGUUGUAGAUUAUUUGACUUAACUAAUUAGAACACCUAAAGUCACACCACGCUUCUUAUUUAUUUACAUUUAGAGCAUCUUUAACUCAUGGGAUGCUUAUUAUUAUUAUUAUUAUUUUUUUUUAUUUUGCUGAUUAAAAAAAAAUUAAAACAAAUCAAUCGUGGACUGUCACGUGUCAGUGGAGUCCGCGUAAUAGUGUAAGCGUUGAUGCUUAAUUUGGCAGUUUUGGCACGGGUGCUUCCUCUUUCUUGGUGGAGCUCACCCCUGUCCACCCCUUAGCACUCCCUUAAGCACCUUCAUUAAUAAUGCUCUUACGAUGCUUCCAUUCAAAAACGGAUACGAAAGCUUUUGGCAUGCUUCUAAAUGUUUAUGAAUUCUUUUUCUUUUUACUAAAUGUUUAGGAGCCCUUUGAUCAUGAAUGUUUUCUUUCUUGGAUCAAAAUACCCUUUUAAAACACUUUCUUAAAAAAUUUAUGACUACAUUCAUAAAUAAUGCCAUUUCUGUCGGAGAGUUUAUCUCACUCUCUAGCCUCAAAGAUUCAUCAUAGGGUUUUGUGAAUCAUGUGUUGAUGGUUGCAAAUCGAAAAAGAAGCAAUUUUUCAACAGAGUACUUCCCUAAUUGGGUGUCUCGUUUCUCUAACCAAGGAAAUUGCAAGUCCAUAUUUGCAUUAUUAUCAACCACUUAAUAAUAUGAUUUUAACACACAUGAAUGGUCUAAUGAUAAAAGGAAUUUUGAUGAGGUAAGCGAUCCAGAUUCAAAAAAACUCAACAACACUAAAUAUAUGAAUAUUUAAUUCUCAUUGCGAGCAGCCAGAUUUGUCCAGUGCCGGUAAACAGGUCUCCAGAAAAAAUAUUUGGUUGGGAUUCAGUCCGUCGGACACUUCUGAUUACUCAAAAGAAUAUAAUAAUAAUAAUAUGAUUAUGUGUAUGCAUUUUAAAUGAAUGAGUUUUUAUCAUAGAAACAAUACUUAAAAAUGUACGACUCUUCUUGAAAGGACUAAUGGAGAUUUGCGUAUUUAUCUCUCUCUCUAGUUUUUUCUCUCCCACUUCUCUCUAAAAAACUCUCGACACAGGAACUCGUUUCGGUGGCCGGUGGCCUACCGCUCCCGGUUACCAUUCCCUUUUUGUCUUUUGUUUUUUUUGUAUCAUAUUUCUAUUCCGUUAACCGGAUAAAAGUUUCGCUAGGCGAUUUGCUCUUCGGUCAAUAGAUCGAUCAAUACUUCCGCGUAGUCGGAUCUAUCAUCGCGAGGCGAUUUUGUUGUGUUAAUAAAUCCCGAUCAUCUCUGAUCGGAUCUUGUAAAAUCUAAAACUCUCCUCUUCUGCAAAAAAUAAAUGUUUUAUUCCAUUUGCUUGGGAUGGAUUCUCAAUCUAUUCAAAGAUAAGCACUUAAUCCCUUUCGAUAAGAGUCAAUCUUUACUUUCUUAUAUACGCCGAUAGGCUUUAGUAAAGUUUCUUAGCGAGAAGGAAGCGGUGGUGUUAGAUUGACAAUCGGGUGGCUUUAAUAGAGAUUUAGUAGAGCCGGCGUCUUCAAGACGGUCCAGCAAAAGAUCUCUUAUGGGUCAAUCCGUAUUAUCUUGGAGUUAUAAUCUGCGGUGGAUGGAGUUCUAUGUCCUCAAGCAAAGGUUGGGGCAGAAGUGGAGUAAGAUGGUUUUGGUGAUUACAGAGAGGUUUCCAUGGAGCGACGGUGGUGAGAAGCAAAAGUGGAGGAUCGGCACAGAAAAUUUCCGGCGGCGAAGAGGCAAGGCGUCCGCUGCCGUUUCGCAUGUCAGACAAAUCUCAUCAACACGUGUCUUUGUUUUCUUCAGCAAACGGCACGUGGAAAUGACAGAAACCGAACUUCAUUUGUGAUUAGUUUGAAGAGCUUCUCUAGAAUUUUAUGUUAAUGGAUCAUGUUUGUAAUGUCUCAAACCAUGUAAACAGCCUUUUGGGCUCGUUAAUGAAAAUAUGUUGACAAAAAAAAAAAAGAACUAAUGAUUUUUACCCAAAAAAUUGUCUAUGGGACAUUUAAUAAUAAUAAUUUUCUCAAAAUCUCAAAAUGUAUUGACUGUUCUUCAAAGCACCAAUGAUUAAUUAAAAAAUUGUUAUUCAUGACCAUAUAACAACUAUUUUCGAGUCUUGAUCUUCAAGCGUAAAAAGGUGUUUUUACUCACAUAUGGUAAAUACGAGUCAACAGCAAAUGAUGCAAAAAAAAAAAAAAAAAAAACUAGAUACAUCAUCAUAGGCUUACAGAAAUCAUUACAGAUGGAACAAAUGAAAACAAUACUUAUAGAAAUUAUUGUUUUGCCAAAACGCCAAUAUUAAAAUGUGCAAGUAAGCUACAUUGAGUACAUUCUUCUUCAAUAAAAAAAAACUAGAUCGAUAUAUCAUCAUAGGCUUAUGAGAACCCUUUAACAAACAUAAAAAAAGUCAUCAUAGGCUUUGGAUACCAAGGAAAAGCACUGCCAAAGAACAAAUGAAAAUCUUCUUGAUUCCAUCACAUUCCUAUUAUAUAUGCUUUACUAAAAUGUUAAACAAUUCCUAUUCAAUAUCCAGUAUAACAGCCGUUCUAUAUAUGUGAUUAUUCUUGAAAACAUACAAUAUAUUUUUUUUGUUCUAGUGGCAAAUAUCAAUUUGCAUACUUGAGUUGAUAAAUUUAUAUUUGAGUUAACUAAUCAGUCUCUAUCCAUCCAUUAAGCAUGUAAAUUUUCCAAAUUUUUUAUGAAGUGCUUCUUCAUAAAUUAAAUAUGGAUUUUAAUUUUAAAUAUCCAACAAAUAAUAUAUGUUUUCCGAGAAAAUAAAAAAAUUAGAAUUUUUGGUUGUUCAGUCGAUUUGAAAUUUGGAGGAUUUGCCAAAAUAACACAAAACUUCAAUUCAAAUUCAAAUGUAUACCUUAAAUUCAAUAAAAUAAAAAAAAUAACUUUAAAAAUAGCAAAAUUACAAUUAUAUUCUCUUGUAAACACUUUUACGAUUAUAGUGGUCAAAUAUAUUUUUUAAACUAUGAAGUCUUAUUCGAGAAGACUUAUCGAGAAGUCCACUCACUUUGAGAAGAUUUUUUGAUAAGUCUAUUCAUGUAUUUAAACAUAAAAUUAAUUUAUGAAAUUAUAAAAAUUGAUGAAAAGUCAAUUAAAAUCAUAUAAAUAUAAAAAUUCUUAAUCGCUUAGCCCGCCGUGCUAGGAAGGAAACAUCUUUUGUAGUUCACAUGGAUCAAGAUCUUCCAGUGUAGUUCACAAAAUCAAUAUGAGCCUGUAAAGUUGAUGACAAAAAAAAAAUUCUAAAUCAUGCAAAUUUAAAUUUAAUAAAAUUUAAUUGUUUUCCAUAUAGAUGAAUGAAUAUAGUUCAUGAUUGUCCAUUAGUUAUGAUUUGGUAACAUAUGUUCAAGUAACACUGAUACUUUAGGGUUAGAUUUUAGAAUAAUAUUUUUUAAAAAUAAAAUUUGACGUAUAAGGGUUUAAUUUUAUUUAGAAAUUGAUUUUAUGUUCAAUAAAGUGUUUAUUACUAUCUAGUUAAAAUAUUUGAUUUUAUGGUUUAGAGUUAGAAGACUCCUUAAAAAGUUUACCAAGAAGUUAUUCACUUGCAAACUUCUUCGGAUCAAAAGUCUUCUAGUAGUGAAGACUUUUGCAAAGUAUUCACUAUCAAUUUUUUAAACUAAUUGAAAUUAUUGUCUUCUUAUAUAAAAAAAUUUACACAUUUUUUCUCUUUCUCUCAGAUGAUGAUUAAAGAAUGUAAUUUUUUCACUAUAAAACUCUACAGCCUUUGUUUAAUCUUUUUGAACUUAAAAACAUCAAAUCCUUAGAUCAAUUUCUCAUCUUUUUUUCUAAUGUAUUUCUCACUUUUUGUUUUUGCAGGUUUUCAUUCUAUGGUUUUCAUUUUCCGCUCCUAAAAAUUAUGUCUAUAAAAUUUUCUAGAUAUGUAUUUGUGUUUUGGUUUGUUAGAGUCGCAUAAAACUAUAUAUUCAACCUAAUGUAAUUGUUUUAUAUAUUAUUUAAGCAUAAAAAAUCUAUCAAUUACCAAUACAUAAAAUGGAAGACUGUGAGAGGGAGAGGGAAGCAUGGCCAGUGUGAUACGUGUUUCUUUUAACUAGCUAUGGUUUACAUUGCAAUGCUGGUUUCUUCUGGCCUUUGCCUAAGUUAACUCUUAGGUUGAGAAUUUCUUUUACCAUGAAGAUUUUUUGAGCAAGCUUCUCCUUACUAUAAGGUUAUUUUACCUUAGAGCAUCUUUAUCUCAUAUACCAUAUAAAGGGUUUCUUUUUCUUUUCUUUUUUUUAGUUUUUUCUGACUAAAAAAAAAUUAAAAAGUGGACCAAUCAAGGACUACUACGUGUCGGUGGGACCCGCAAACAGUACAAAAAACACACAGCAGAUGUCUCUUAUUCUGCCCACUUUGCAUACGGUUUUUUCUAAAACCUGGGCCCCCACCGCUUUAGAGACGCUAAAAAGGAUGCGAUAAUCAUGCUCUUAGCAUGUAAACGUUUAUGUUAUUUUAAUUUGAAAGUUUUUAGUCAAUUUUUUUUUUCCAUUUGAGAUACUUGAAACAACUUCAAAAAUCAUAUCUCAUCAAAUUUCUCGCCACUAAAAAAAACAAUUUUCAAACGUGGAAUUUUAAAUAUUACAAAAGCAUGUUGUGUGUGCAAACACGAUAGUAAAUAGCUUCAUUAGAUUUGUAAAAAAUGAUGUGCUCAAAUUAAUUCUAAUGAGCAACUCUACAGUUUUAGAGGUGCAAUGUAGUACUUGGAAAUCAUAUACACAUGGACUUAGAUCACACAAUAGAUUUUAGUUAUCAAAUUAUGCUAGACAAGUAAAUAGAAAGCUAGUUAAUACCUUUAAAUAAAAUGGUUUGUAAGUGAUUGAGAAAAGUGUUAAUCUUAGGGAAAUUGACAGCUAAAUGAGAAUUGUAGAACAAACAAUUGCCAAGUGUUUAUGAAAAACAAUUCUAAAUUUUAAAUCACAUCAAUCAAAUCAAUCAACUUUCGUUUGAGAGAUAAUCUAUGCAUAGAUCCUAGAAUUCCAAAUCAAUUUGUGAAUUCAAUCAGUUAAGAGAAUGAUUAAGACAAGAUUUGAUAAGUUCACUAAAUCCCUAAACCAAUUUUUUUUGCAUAUAAGUAUUUAGCUCAUCACCAAAUAUUAGUUCAGGUAAAUCAAUAAUGCUUUCGUAUCUACCAAUUAUCCUAAGAUCUAUAUUUCAGGUUGUCAAUCCAAAUAUAGCAUUAAGAACAAUCAAAAUGAAGAAUAAAAGAUAACCCUAACAAGUCAAUAUAAUAUUUCAUCAAUUUUUGAAGAACCUUAAAUCUAAUAUGUGGUUUAUUUAAACAUGAUCAAUGUAACACAAAUCUUAAUAAGUUGCAUUAAUAAAUCAAACUAAGAGAUACAAUGAAGGAGUUUUAACUUGUCUCUUCAAAUCUCUCUAAGAUAAAAGUAUAGCCUAAACAAUGACUUCAGAAUAAUUAAAUAUGUCUAAAACUCGUUAGAGACUUUCUUGCAAAUACUAAAAAUUUUCAGGCCAAAUUGCAAUUCUUUGAAACUUGUAAAAACUUGUCAGGACUCUUGGUCAGGAUGGGUAUUAGAUUGACACCAGAUUGAAAGUUUGACACCAAGAUCACUUUUUCAGCUCUAAUUUUCAGUAUGCUCCAAAUUGAGUUAGAAUUUCCAAUCUUGUCCAAAAUGUACAUGAACUUAUAAAGACUCGAAAACGAUUCGACACAUAAUAAAAACUCUAAAAUAUAAUUUAUAUCAUGGUUAAAAUUCAUAAGGACAUGAUAAAAAAAAAUUAAUGGUGGAUAAAUCCAUAAAUAAAUUACGUAACGAUCGAAAUUCUACAGUGCAACAAAUACAGGAGUGUGUUUUUUUUUAACACGAUAAAGGAGUAUGUUUUAAAACUUUUAUACAGGUUUUUUAUUAAUACAAAAAUCAGAUAUAUAUAUAUAUAUAUAAUCCAAAACAUCAAUUAACCAAUCCAACUCCAGCAUCCACUGUGAUUAGGAAGAAAUAACCGUAGACAAUACUAUAAAUUUUUACUAUAAAAAUUAAUAUCAGAAUUCAUUAUUAAAAUUAUUAUUUUUUGAAAUUUUAUUAUAUUCAUUCCGUUUCAUAUACAUGAUAUUUCAGAAUAUAAGAUGUUUUUAACAUAUUUAUACAACUUUAACUUUAUUAGAAAAUGUUUAAUUAAUCAUAUUUUUACUAUAUUUUAAUGACUGGUUGAAUUAUUUUUUAAUUUAUAUUUUUAAUAGCUUUUUGUUACAUUAAAUUAAAAAAUUCAAUAUUUAUGGGAACAAAUUAUUAUAAAUCAUCUGACGGAUCCAGAAAAAUCAUCUGACGGGAGCACAAAUUUUAUAUUAAAAUAAAUAAUAUAUUAUUAGUAGAAUUAUUAUAAAUUAUAAUAUUAUUUGCCUCAUAAAAUUAUAUUUAUUAUAAAAAAAUUUUAAAACUUUUUUAUGGCUGAAAAAAAAAAAUUACUACUAUGAGUAAUCAUAAAAAAAAAAUAAAAUUAGUAAUGUAACCAUAACAACACAUUAAUGUAAAUAAAAUUAAUUUUAAAUGUAUAGAACAAGAAGUCUAUAUAAUAUAUAGUAUAAGAAAGAUUAUUAUAAACUAUAAUUUUAUUUGACUCAUUAAGUUAUAUUAUAUAUAUAUAUAUAUAUUUUAAACUUUUCUAAUAUUAUUAAUCAUAACAACACACUUUAAAUAAAAUUAAUUUAAAUGUAUAGAAAAAGAAGUCUAUAUAAUAUUAUGUAAAUUUAUACUACAUAAUAUUAUUAAUCAUAACAACACACUUUAAAUAAAAUUAAUUUUAAAUGUAUAGAAAAAGAAGUCUAUAUAAUAUUAUGUCAAUUUAUACUACAUAAUUUUACUUAUCAUAUCACAAGGAAUUAAAUUCUAAAGUGUUAAUAAAAAAUGAAUAGAUUGUUUACUAUUUUAAAAUUAACUAAUGUUUUAUUUACUAGCAACUCAUAAUAUGGAUUUUAAAGACAAUGGAUCUCUAUACGUCGUUUGGAAAAAAGUAAACUUAAAGAUAAAAAUAUAAUGGAAAGAAAUAACGAAAUAUGAAAGCCAAUUCAAAAGAAAAAAGAAAUAAGCCAUUUUAUUAAAAAAUAUAUGUAAAAAAGAAAGAUAGAGAAGAAAUGAAAUAAGUCUGGAAAAAGGUAAGAAGAAUAAAACUGAAGCGUGUCAAUUGCCACAUAAAACAUUAAAUGCACAUAAAAUAAUUUGUGAGUUGAUCGAACUCUCAACACUGGAACCAGACGGGACACUUUUACCAACGAAGCUACCAGAAAAAAAUCUAACUGACAAAAGUUAUAUAAGUAGUCGGGGGCAUGCGCCUCCCCUCGGGACAAAGCCAGGUUACCCAUUAUGGGGGCCUGUGCCCCCGCAAUAUUAAUUGAUAAUGUAAUUUUCGUGUAAAUAAGCAUCUGUAUCAACCAAGGUUCGAUUCUACUUUUUGACAUGUUUCUAUUUUAUUAUAAAGAGUGCACCCAGUAAUUAUAUAUCCUGGAUUCUCCCCUGGCCCCCCGUAGCUUACAUUGUAGAUCCGUCCCUGGUUUUAUCUAUUACAUCAUAUAUUAUCAUAUAUUAUGAAAUAGAGAGAGAGUAACUGUUGUGGCGAAUCUUGUACAAAAAAAACUGUUGUGGCGAUUUAAACAUUCAGAAAACUCCGGUAAGAAGUUACAUUGUAAUUUUGUGCAUGCGAUUGCAUGCCCAUUUUGUCAAUAAUAUACACGCGUUUGCAGUAAUCAACGUGAGAAUAUUAUAGAUGCACGCGUAUGCAUGGAUCAGCAACUGUAUUUUACGUGUGUAUUAACUGUGUGCAUGAUGGCAUUCAUUUUUAUUUAAUAAAUUAAAUAGAUAACAAUUAUUUUCCAAUAAAUAGCAACAAUUGGAAAACUUAUUUAGCAAAAAAAAAAACAAUUGGAAAACUUUUUUUGUGUAAAAAAUAGUAUAUUAUCAUAUGAUCUCUCUCUUUUUCAUGCAUGCAUUCGCGUGUAUAUAGACACGAAUAUACAUGCAGUUUCCUGCUUUAAAAAUAUUACAAUAUAUUUCAAAAAAAAAACGUAACAACAUGUAUGAUGUAAUAAUUUCAUAAAUAUAUUAGCAUUGACAGAAGCACCUAUUGAUGAAGCGGAAGGUUUAUAUGAUAGAAUUAGAUAUCCGUUGAUUCUAAGAAUACACGGAAAACUAUAAUAAUAUAAAGAUUUUAUUUAGUCUAAGAAUGCAUAAGAUCAAUAUCUUCUUUAAAUUCGUUGAGAUCACCAAUGAUCUACCGAAAACAAGUAACAUAGAAAAAACUCUUAACUUUUAUUAAUUAAUCAAAAACUUGGAUACAACUCUAGGCAUAAGAAACCUAUAUAUGUGAAAACAUAAUAACUAUGAAAACCCUAAUCCUAAUUAAAAUAGAAAAAACUAUUAAAAUAAAGCUAAUACAAAUAAAUGGUAAUUAUCCUAAUUCUAAGCUGCAUCACCUAUCCCUCCUAUCAACUAUAUAAGUCUCACACGUCUUUGUACUCUACACUUCCCAUUCAUAUAUACAAUCUCAAAAGAUGAAGAGUCACUACACAAACAUCAUUUAUGUUGUUUUUCUCUUAUUUUGUCUUUUGAUCACAUCUUCCUCUGCACAAUCCCUCAUACGACAACCCACUGAUGACCUAAGCACAAUUCUACAGCGUAUGCAUGCAAUAUCUUAUCCUCUAAAUUCGAACCCAUAUUCAAGAAAUCCUUUAAUGUCUUUUAGAUUCUGUGCUUCUGCUGUGUGUUUUCAAACAGUGUGAUAGAGACAGUUCCUCUAUUUUACUCAAAUGCUCUGUUUUUGUCAAACAGAGAAGAAUGGAGCGCAACCAAACUCAAUCCUGGGAGAAGCGCAUUACUUAAAUAAAGAUGAUCUAGAGAUCUAUUCACGUGAUUAUAAAGGCUCACCUUCAAACUUAGUGACGGGUAUGAGAGACCGUCCUCCAAUGUCUUACUCUCUCAGAAUGGAGUCUUUCAACACGCUCCUUCAGUCAAAUGAGACAGAAAGAUACGAAUCUCGUCCUUUUCCCGUUGGUGGAUACAACUGGUAUGUUGGUAUUCUGAUAUUAUUUAUUCCGGAUCUAGAACCCGUUCUAAGCAUAAACAAAGUGAAAUAUCAGUCCAUUGUUUUAAAAUUUUAAGAAUAUAUAUAAGCUCCAAAAUUUGUUUAAAGAAAAUCUAUUAAAAAUUUUAAUGAAAUUAGUAAAUUUUCUAUAGUCCCAUAAUCUCGUGUCCGAAUCGAAUAUUACAUAUUAAAAACCUUUUGAUGGAUCUUGUUAUACAGGUCACUUAUUGUGUAUCCCAACGGGAACAGGCAGGAUAGUGGCUCAGGGUUCAUUUCGCUUUAUUUAGCCAUAGACAACUCGACUCUCCUUUCUUCGCAUCAAGAGGUUUUCGCAGAUCUCAGGUUUUACGUAUUCAAAAGGACCGAGAGGAAUUUCUUCACCGUCCAAGGUUCUUUCUAAUUUUCCCAUUCUAUCAAGAAACAUGCAAUGUGUAUAUACUAUAUAGUAGUAACAUCUAUCUUUGUUUCAAUCCGCAGAUACAGAUGUAUGGCGAUAUAAUAUUUUCAAAACGAUGUGGGGAUUCCCUCGGGUCCUCCCUCUUGAUACCUUCAGAAACCCGAGCAACGGAUACCUCUUCAAUGGAGAUAACUGCGAGUUUGGUGUUGAUGUGACUGUUCAUUCUCCCUUUGAAAGUUCAGAACUUUUCACUGUCGCUAGGAAUUUCCCUAACCCGAGGUUCACCUGGACUAUUCAGAGGUUCUCCACGCUGGUCGGAGAUACGCAUCUCUCUAAUACGUUCUCGGUCGGAGGAAGGAAUUGGUGAGUGAGUCCUGUCCAACACUAGUUCAAGACUAAUUAGCGUAUUGUGGUAGUAACAGAUAUUCCAUAUGAUUACCCGUUCUAAGCAUAAACAAAGUGAAAUAUCAGUCCAUUGUUUUAAAAUUUUAAGAAUAUAUAUAAGCUCCAAAAUUUGUUUAAAGAAAAUCUAUUAAAAAUUUUAAUGAAAUUAGUAAAUUUUCUAUAGUCCCAUAAUCUCGUGUCCGAAUCGAAUAUUACAUAUUAAAAACCUUUUGAUGGAUCUUGUUAUACAGGUCACUUAUUGUGUAUCCCAACGGGAACAGGCAGGAUAGUGGCUCAGGGUUCAUUUCGCUUUAUUUAGCCAUAGACAACUCGACUCUCCUUUCUUCGCAUCAAGAGGUUUUCGCAGAUCUCAGGUUUUACGUAUUCAAAAGGACCGAGAGGAAUUUCUUCACCGUCCAAGGUUCUUUCUAAUUUUUCCAUUCUAUCAAGAAACAUGCAAUGUGUAUAUACUAUAUAGUAGUAACAUCUAUCUUUGUUUCAAUCCGCAGAUACAGAUGUAUGGCGAUAUAAUAUUUUCAAAACGAUGUGGGGAUUCCCUCGGGUCCUCCCUCUUGAUACCUUCAGAAACCCGAGCAACGGAUACCUCUUCAAUGGAGAUAACUGCGAGUUUGGUGUUGAUGUGACUGUUCAUUCUCCCUUUGAAAGUUCAGAACUUUUCACUGUCGCUAGGAAUUUCCCUAACCCGAGGUUCACCUGGACUAUUCAGAGGUUCUCCACGCUGGUCGGAGAUACGCAUCUCUCUAAUACGUUCUCGGUCGGAGGAAGGAAUUGGUGAGUGAGUCCUGUCCAACACUAGUUCAAGACUAAUUAGCG
rnacentral:lncRNA from 1 species